rnacentral:rRNA from 1 species
UCUUUGACCUCGGAUCAGGUAGGGAUACCCGCUGAACUUAAGCAUAUCAAUAAGCGGAGGAAAAGAAAGCAACAGCGAUAGCCUCAGUAACGGCGAGUGAAGCGGCUACAGCUCAAAUUUGAAAUCUGGCCCUCUUUGGGGGUCCGAGUUGUAAUUUGUAGAGGAUGCUUUGGCAUUGGCGGCGGUCUAAGUUCCUUGGAACAGGACAUCGCAGAGGGUGAGAAUCCCGUACGUGGGCGCCUGCCUUUGCCGUGUAAAGCUCCUUCGACGAGUCGAGUUGUUUGGGAAUGCAGCUCUAAAUGGGAGGUAAAUUUCUCCUAAAGCUAAAUACCGGCCAGAGACCGAUAGCGCACAAGUAGAGUGAUCGAAAGAUGAAAAGUACUUUGGAAAGAGAGUCAAAUAGCACGUGAAAUUGUUGAAAGGGAAGCGCUUGCAGCCAGACUUGCCCGCAGUUGCUCACCCAGGCUCUUGCCUGGGGCAUUCUUCUGCGGGCAGGCCAGCAUCAGUUUGGGCGGUCGGAUAAAGGCCUCUGUCACGUACCACCCUUCGGGGUGGCCUUAUAGGGGAGGCGUAAUGCGACCAGCCCGGACUGAGGUCCGCGCAUCUGCUAGGAUGCUGGCGUAAUGGCUGUAAGCGGCCCGUCUUGAAACACGGACCAAGGAGUCUAACAUCUAUGCGAGUGUUUGGGUGUCAAGCCCGGGCGCGCAAUGAAAGUGAACGGAGGUGGGAACCCUUUGGGUGCACCAUCGACCGAUCCUGAUGUCUUCGGAUGGAUUUGAGUAAGAGCAUAGCUGUUGGGACCCGAAAGAUGGUGAACUAUGCUUGAAUAGGGUGAAGCCAGAGGAAACUCUGGUGGAGGCUCGCAGCGGUUCUGACGUGCAAAUCGAUCGUCAAAUUUGGGCAUAGGGGCGAAAAGACUAAUCGAACCAUCUAGUAGCUGGUUCCUGCCGAAAUUUCCCUCAGAAUAACAGUAACGUUUUUCAGUUUUUAUGAAGGUAAAAGCGAAUGAAU